rnacentral:lncRNA from 1 species
GGGUGCUCCCGCCCCCCAACCUGCGCGCGGGCGGGUGCAGGGCUUGGCGGACACGGAGAAUUCCAGGCUCCGUGCCCUGAAAACACGGGCGUGAGGGGCGCAGGGGCGAAGGCUGGAGGCGGAGAACCCAAGAGGGGCUGCGGGGCCGGCCUCGGGGCAGCGGGGCUGGAGGCAGCUUCGCUCCGCGGACGUGAGACCCGCCUGGGACCCUUCGCCGACCAGGCUGCGGCCCCGCGCCCCCCGCGUCUUCCCGGCCCCGCGCUGGCAGCGCCGCCCCCCGGGCCCCCGCGCCGUCCUCCCCGCGCCCCCCGCGUCUUCCCGGCCCCGCGCGGGCAGCGCCGCCCCCCAGGCCCCCGCGCCGUCCUCCCUGCGCCUGCUGCCCGCUGGGGCUAUUUUAAUACCGGGCGCUGGCGCGGGGCCGCGGCGCAUUCCCAGCUGGCGGCGGGCAGGUGGCGGCGGCGCAGGGACCCGGCGCGGGGCUCCGGGCGCGGCUUUGGUGGCGGGACUGGCGGGCGCCCCUGCCGUGCGCUCUGGGAGCCGAGGCCACCGCGGAGCCCCUCGCGCCCCCUCUGCUCCGGGACAGGGGAGCGCGCCUCUGAAAGCUCCCCGCGGCCGCCCCGACCCGCGACCCCAGGCUCGGCGGGCAGGUCUGGCGGCUCCGUGACCGGAGGCAGCUCUGCGAGCUUCGUCCAGGCUGCUGACCUCAGCGGUGACUCCUUCACUGGCUUCAUGUCACAGUUUGCUCGCCCCCUCCACUGGGGACAUUCCAGCUGUUUCCGGCUUCUUAGGAGUCAAGCUGCCGUGAACUUUCGCACACUUGACAUUUUCUGGACAUUGGCAGUCCUUUAUCUAAGGUACAAACCUAAAAGUGGAAUUGCCGGGUGAGAAGGUCUAGGCGGUCAACUCUGCAAGUCUUGCCAAUGGUUUUCCAAAGUGGCAGCGCAGUCCAGGUUCCCAGCAACAGCAAACGGUGGGGCCAGCUCCUCUGCAGCCCCCAUGCCUGUUGACAACGAUGUCUGCCUUUUCACACCUUCGUCGUUGUCAUCACGCAGGGGCUUCUGUGGCCAUGACUGGCAUUUCCCUGCUUGUUGGCCGCGUGGGUGUCCUUUUCAGGGAGUCCCCAGUCACGGUUUUGGUCUCUUUUUUUCAAAUGGGUUGUCUUUUCCUUACUAAUUUGCAGUUCUUCUCUAUAUUUUUCUUACCAGCUUUUUGUCUAUGUUCUUUCUUUCUUUCUUUCUUUCUUUUUUUCUGAGACGAAGUCUCGCUUUGUUGCCCAGUCUGGAGUGCAGUGGCGCAAUCUCAAUCUUGGCUCACUGCAACCUUCACCUCUCGAGUUCAAACAAUUCUCCUGCCUCAGCCUCCCGAGUAGCUGGGAUUACAGGCAUGUGCCACCAUGCCAACUAAUUUUUAUAUUUUCAGUAGAGAUGGAGUUUUGAGAUGUUGGCCAAGCUGGCUUUGAACUCCUGACCUCAGGUGAUCCACUUGCUUUGGCCUCCCAAAGUGCUGGAAUUACAGGUGUGAGCCACUGCAACCUGCCUGAUAUAUGUUUUCUGAUGAUCUCCUAGCCUGUGACUUAUGAUUUCGCUUUCUUGGUAAAGUUCUUAAUUUUAAUGAAACCCAUUUGCUCAAUCUUUUAUUGCAAGUAUUUUUUGUUCAUUUUUAAGAAAUCUUUUCCCAUCCAAGGUCAUGCCAGUAUUCCUGUUUUCUUCCAGAACCUUGACUGAUUGAUUUAACCUUUCACACUUAGGCCUGCAAUCCAUCUCGAAUUCAUUUCCCUGUAUGAGAAAUGGAGAUUGCAGAGCCCUCCCUCUCCUUACUUUACAUGUUUUUCUAUUUGGACUUUUAAAGUCAGUAGCUACUAGUUUUGCAAUCUGAAGAAAACUUUUUAAAAAUGUACAAGUGAAAUAAAAAACGAGAAAGGACUCUGGGGUAAGUGGGCCCCACCCGUGCACAGAUAAGAAAAUGAGGCCUGGGGGGUGCACUGGGCGGGCAGGCAGAGCCCAGGACUCCCAGCUCUGUCCACUGCCAACCUCUGCCCCAGGGGCUGCCCUCCUGUGUUCCAGCUUUCAGAAAAGCCCAGUCCAUCCCAGAGGCCACGGGACCUACAGUGAGGCGGGGGCAGGGGUCCUGCUGGGGCAUGUGGGGGUGGGGGAGGGAGGUUGGGUGGCUCAUCUGGUGGCACUCGAGUCCUCCUGCAGAGCUGGUGACUUCCAGAGAGUCCCCAGGAGCCGGAGGGCAGUGGGGGGCCCACGUGACUCUGUGGGAACGGCCGUCACAAUGGCCUCCUGGGAGCAGAAUGGUUGCCUGACUUGCAUCUUUAACAGGCUUCUUUCCCCACAGGCUGAGCUGGUUGCCCACAGGUGCCCGCGCCCCAUCUCAGGGAGUGACCACCCAGCCCUGAG